UAAAAAUUAUUGUUUCAUGAUUUAAUUAUUUAAUGUUUAAUAUUGUAUGAGUUUUAGAAUUAGGCAGAGGCAGGAGUUUUGAAGAUCUAAACUCAGGGUAGAGAUGCCCCUGUUUCUGCAGGUCUUGUUAUUAAGCAUUUCUGGAAAUGCUUAUGUCUGAGGAGCAUAGGCUGGGGUAUCCAUGUCUGAAAAUGUUAACUAUUUUAUCUUAUAGUCCUUCCAGAAAACUUAAUUUCCAAUUGAACAGCCAACGCUGCAUAUCGACUGAUGGGAAGUUCUACCACCUGCAAGUGGAAUGUCAACUACCACUCCAAAGGGAAAAAAAAACAGACUGUACUUCUCAGUGGAACGAGGGAAGACACUACUGGUCAAUGAAGUGCAAUCUCCAGGAGACCCAGGGAUCAGCUAAUGAUGAGACACUCUCUCCAAUGGCAUUUAUCCUACACAAGUCUGCAGGGCCAUAAGCACAUCCUUUUCCCAAGGGGUUGCUGCCUGGGCUCAAGGCUGAUUUUGGCAGAGCAGCUUUCCAGCCUUGAAGCUGUAUAAGAGAGUUAUCUGACAUACGUUGAUGGGGGAUCAAGCCUGUCACUCAGGAGCUGCCUUUAAGCUGAAGGUCUGACCCUUGCUCUCUGCCUGAGCUUCAUCGCAGCCAUAUGUCUGGACAAAUACCCUGUUGAUCCAGACCCUAACCCGUGGACUGACUUCUUAGCCAGACCUGCCUUCUCGCUAUGGAUGUACCUGGAGAUCUGAACUCCUGGAUGAACCUGGUUACUCUCACUGGACUUACUCUGCUCUUCUUGCUCAGGUUCUGUGAUAUGAUUCCCUUGUUGGUGAGGCCACAACAAGCACUCAGCAUGAGUUACCAAGCAAAUAACUCUUUGGUGAAAAUGAUUCAAGUAGGAUUUUUUAAAUGCUUUUGGAUAUUUAUAAUGUUUUCCAUAAGUAAGGAAAAAUAUAAAGUUAUGAAUUAUGGUAACUGAAAUCACUGCUUGUGUUUAUGAAAGCACUCAAAAAAGUAGUUUUUCUCUUGUUUACCCAGCUAUAAAGUUGUAAGGCAGUUUGCCUGGUGACAGUAAAGGUGAGAUAGUUGUCAGUAAUCAAGGCCAGAAAACACUGUGUUCUUAUAUAGAUUAACAGGAAAUUGUUUUUAUCUUCAACCUCUUCUGAUGGCACUGAUCAGUUGAAGUCAGUGGCACAAAAGUUUGGAAGUGCAGCUGCAAGGAACUGAUUCAAGAAUUUUGGCUUCUGGAUCUCUCUCUCUGUCAUCAGCAGAGAAAGAUCCCUUGGGCUUAGACUCACUGCCAGAGGUGUCAGCUGGUAGAGAAAAUAUUGGUUUUACAAUAACUGCUGAAGCAUGAAGUGGCUGGUAGCAGUAGCAGCAGCUGCCCAGAAAGGGAAGUACGCAUCCUUAUUGCAAAAUAGUGAAGAGGUGACGUGGCAGGAUCCUCUGUUGCUGGGAACCCA
rnacentral:lncRNA from 1 species